rnacentral:rRNA from 1 species
UUAAGCGACUAAGCGUACACGGUGGAUGCCCUGGCAGUCAGAGGCGAUGAAGGACGUGCUAAUCUGCGAAAAGCGUCGGUAAGGUGAUAUGAACCGUUACAGCCGGCGAUGUCCGAAUGGGGAAACCCAGUGUGAUUCGUCACACUAUCGUUAACUGAAUACAUAGGUUAACGAGGCGAACCGGGGGAACUGAAACAUCUAAGUACCCCGAGGAAAAGAAAUCAACCGAGAUUCCCCCAGUAGCGGCGAGCGAACGGGGAGCAGCCCAGAGUCUGAAUCAGCUUGUGUGUUAGUGGAACGGUCUGGAAAGUCCGACGGUACAGGGUGAUAGUCCCGUACACCAAAAUGCACAGGCUGUGAACUCGAAGAGUAGGGCGGGACACGUGGUAUCCUGUCUGAAUAUGGGGGGACCAUCCUCCAAGGCUAAAUACUCCUGACUGACCGAUAGUGAACCAGUACCGUGAGGGAAAGGCGAAAAGAACCCCGGCGAGGGGAGUGAAAAAGAACCUGAAACCGUGUACGUACAAGCAGUGGGAGCACCUUCGGGUGUGACUGCGUACCUUUUGUAUAAUGGGUCAGCGACUUAUAUUCUGUAGCAAGGUUAACCGUAUAGGGGAGCCGCAGGGAAACCGAGUCUUAACUGGGCGUUAAGUUGCAGGGUAUAGACCCGAAACCCGGUGAUCUAGCCAUGGGCAGGUUGAAGGUUGGGUAACACUAACUGGAGGACCGAACCGACUAAUGUUGAAAAAUUAGCGGAUGACUUGUGGCUGGGGGUGAAAGGCCAAUCAAACCGGGAGAUAGCUGGUUCUCCCCGAAAGCUAUUUAGGUAGCGCCUCGUGAACUCAUCUUCGGGGGUAGAGCACUGUUUCGGCUAGGGGGUCAUCCCGACUUACCAACCCGAUGCAAACUACGAAUACCGAAGAAUGUUAUCACGGGAGACACACGGCGGGUGCUAACGUCCGUCGUGAAGAGGGAAACAACCCAGACCGCCAGCUAAGGUCCCAAAGUCAUGGUUAAGUGGGAAACGAUGUGGGAAGGCACAGACAGCCAGGAUGUUGGCUUAGAAGCAGCCAUCAUUUAAAGAAAGCGUAAUAGCUCACUGGUCGAGUCGGCCUGCGCGGAAGAUGUAACGGGGCUAAACCAUGCACCGAAGCUGCGGCAGCGACACUAUGUGUUGUUGGGUAGGGGAGCGUUCUGUAAGCCUGCGAAGGUGUGCUGUGAGGCAUGCUGGAGGUAUCAGAAGUGCGAAUGCUGACAUAAGUAACGAUAAAGCGGGUGAAAAGCCCGCUCGCCGGAAGACCAAGGGUUCCUGUCCAACGUUAAUCGGGGCAGGGUGAGUCGACCCCUAAGGCGAGGCCGAAAGGCGUAGUCGAUGGGAAACAGGUUAAUAUUCCUGUACUUGGUGUUACUGCGAAGGGGGGACGGAGAAGGCUAUGUUAGCCGGGCGACGGUUGUCCCGGUUUAAGCAUGUAGGCUGGUUAUCCAGGCAAAUCCGGAUAAUCAAGGCUGAGGUGUGAUGACGAGGCACUACGGUGCUGAAGUAACAAAUGCCCUGCUUCCAGGAAAAGCCUCUAAGCAUCAGGUAACAUCAAAUCGUACCCCAAACCGACACAGGUGGUCAGGUAGAGAAUACCAAGGCGCUUGAGAGAACUCGGGUGAAGGAACUAGGCAAAAUGGUGCCGUAACUUCGGGAGAAGGCACGCUGGUGUGUAGGUGAAGUCCCUGCGGAUGGAGCUGAGACCAGUCGAAGAUACCAGCUGGCUGCAACUGUUUAUUAAAAACACAGCACUGUGCAAACACGAAAGUGGACGUAUACGGUGUGACGCCUGCCCGGUGCCGGAAGGUUAAUUGAUGGGGUUAUCCGUAAGGAGAAGCUCUUGAUCGAAGCCCCGGUAAACGGCGGCCGUAACUAUAACGGUCCUAAGGUAGCGAAAUUCCUUGUCGGGUAAGUUCCGACCUGCACGAAUGGCGUAAUGAUGGCCAGGCUGUCUCCACCCGAGACUCAGUGAAAUUGAACUCGCUGUGAAGAUGCAGUGUACCCGCGGCAAGACGGAAAGACCCCGUGAACCUUUACUAUAGCUUGACACUGAACAUUGAGCCUUGAUGUGUAGGAUAGGUGGGAGGCUUUGAAGCGUGGACGCCAGUCUGCGUGGAGCCAACCUUGAAAUACCACCCUUUAAUGUUUGAUGUUCUAACGUUGGCCCCUGACCGGGGUUGCGGACAGUGUCUGGUGGGUAGUUUGACUGGGGCGGUCUCCUCCCAAAGCGUAACGGAGGAGCACGAAGGUUAGCUAAUCCUGGUCGGACAUCAGGAGGUUAGUGCAAUGGCAUAAGCUAGCUUGACUGCGAGCGUGACGGCGCGAGCAGGUGCGAAAGCAGGUCAUAGUGAUCCGGUGGUUCUGAAUGGAAGGGCCAUCGCUCAACGGAUAAAAGGUACUCCGGGGAUAACAGGCUGAUACCGCCCAAGAGUUCAUAUCGACGGCGGUGUUUGGCACCUCGAUGUCGGCUCAUCACAUCCUGGGGCUGAAGUAGGUCCCAAGGGUAUGGCUGUUCGCCAUUUAAAGUGGUACGCGAGCUGGGUUUAGAACGUCGUGAGACAGUUCGGUCCCUAUCUGCCGUGGGCGCUGGAGAAUUGAGGGGGGCUGCUCCUAGUACGAGAGGACCGGAGUGGACGCAUCACUGGUGUUCGGGUUGUCAUGCCAAUGGCACUGCCCGGUAGCUAAAUGCGGAAGAGAUAAGUGCUGAAAGCAUCUAAGCACGAAACUUGCCCCGAGAUGAGUUCUCCCUGAGACUUUAAGUCUCCUGAAGGAACGUUGAAGACGACGACGUUGAUAGGCCGGGUGUGUAAGCGCAGCGAUGCGUUGAGCUAACCGGUACUAAUGAACCGUGAGGCUUAACCUU